GAUGAACGCUGACAGAAUGCUUAACACAUGCAAGUCUACUUGAACUUCGGUUUGGGUGGCGGACGGGUGAGUAACGCGUAAAGAACUUGCCUCACAGAUAGGGACAACAUUUGGAAACGAAUGCUAAUACCUGAUAUUAUGAUUUUAGGGCAUCCUAGAAUUAUGAAAGCUAUAUGCACUGUGAGAGAGCUUUGCGUCCCAUUAGCUAGUUGGAGGGGUAACGGCUCACCAAGGCGAUGAUGGGUAGCCGGCCUGAGAGGGUGAUCGGCCACAAGGGGACUGAGACACGGCCCUUACUCCUACGGGAGGCAGCAGUGGGGAAUAUUGGACAAUGGACCAAGAGUCUGAUCCAGCAAUUCUGUGUGCACGAUGAAGUUUUUCGGAAUGUAAAGUGCUUUCAGUUGGGAAGAAAAAAAUGACGGUACCAACAGAAGAAGUGACGGCUAAAUACGUG
rnacentral:rRNA from 1 species